rnacentral:rRNA from 1 species
ACGGGUGAGUAACACGUGAGCAACCUGCCCCAAGCUUUGGGAUAACCCUCGGAAACGGGGGCUAAUACCGAAUAUUACUUCUGGCCGCAUGGCUGGUGGUGGAAAGUUUUUCGGCUUGGGAUGGGCUCGCGGCCUAUCAGCUUGUUGGUGGGGUGAUGGCCUACCAAGGCGACGACGGGUAGCCGGCCUGAGAGGGCGACCGGCCACACUGGGACUGAGACACGGCCCAGACUCCUACGGGAGGCAGCAGUGGGGAAUAUUGCACAAUGGGCGGAAGCCUGAUGCAGCGACGCCGCGUGAGGGAUGACGGCCUUCGGGUUGUAAACCUCUUUCAGCAGGGACGAAGCGAGAGUGACGGUACCUGCAGAAGAAGCACCGGCCAACUACGUGCCAGCAGCCGCGGUAAGACGUAGGGUGCGAGCGUUGUCCGGAUUUAUUGGGCGUAAAGAGCUCGUAGGCGGCUUGUCGCGUCGACCGUGAAAACUUGGGGCUCAACCCCAAGCCUGCGGUCGAUACGGGCAGGCUAGAGUUCGGUAGGGGAGACUGGAAUUCCUGGUGUAGCGGUGAAAUGCGCAGAUAUCAGGAGGAACACCGGUGGCGAAGGCGGGUCUCUGGGCCGAUACUGACGCUGAGGAGCGAAAGCGUGGGGAGCGA